rnacentral:tRNA from 1 species
CAGGGAGACAACAAAAUGUUUAAUAUUAUUAUUUUGUCACCUUAGGUCGAUCGGUAUCUCACGUUUUUAAUUUAUUAAGAAUUUCAUUUCCUAAGUUUUUCUAGGUCACACCCAUUAUUUUCCUGGGCCAUUAGCUCAGGUGGUUAGAGCGCACCCCUGAUAAGGGUGAGGUCCCUGGUUCAAGUCCAGGAUGGCCCAUAUCUCUAUGUUGGGGGUAUAGCUCAGUUGGUAGAGCGCCUGCUUUGCAAGCAGGAUGUCAGCGGUUCGAGUCCGCUUACCUCCACUGAUUACCACCUCUUCCAUAACCGGUAGAAAGGAAAUGUUUUGAGUUGUGAUCAAAUCCUGAAAGAAUCUAGCUUCCUAAUGAAAUCAUUAAGAUGCUGGACUCAUUGAAUUAAUUUCAUUGUUUUCAGAGAACCUUGACAACUGCAUAGAUUAUUUUUAAAGACAAUAAGCAUCUUUAAUGAUGCAGAUUUAUUAUUUAUGCGAAUGCAUUAAUAACAAUUCUAUUAAGCUGAUGCUUCAAUUUUUGAAGUUAUU